UUUUAUUGAAAUUGGAUUGGGGUUGUUAUUUAUCUGGUUAUCUAAUUUGGUUGUUAAUUAUGUGAUCAUCUCUUUAUUGUCUGGUUCCUAAGGAGAUUGAAAUUGUUUAAAACAAUGCCUAAGGGGAAACUUAGAAAGGAAACUCCAAUCAGACAUCACCAACAUGGACCACAGCUGAAGAAACUAGAUGGACAUUACACUAAAGCAUCCAUCUAGAACCACAGUCAACAUAGUAUAUUCAAUUGACAGACACUUCAGCACAUAGCACCAGCAAAAAAGUCUUACUACAAAGCCACUCUACAAAAUUGGUAGAGACAACUGCCUUGCCAGAUUCACCAGAAGCAUAAAAGAUAAGGUAACAUGACACCUCCAAAGAAACACAAUAACUCUUUAGCAACAGGCCUCAAAGAAAAGGAAAUGAAUGAGCUGCCUGACAAUUCAAAAGAAUGAAUUUCAGAAAACAAUGAAAUUGUAGAAUACAACAGUUACUAAUAUGGCAUUAUGUAAAAAUGUGGAUGUGUAACCGAUGUGAUUCUGCAAUCUGUAUUUGGGGUAAAAAUGGGAGUUCAUAACCAACUUGAAUCUAAUGUAUGAAAUAUGAUAUGUCAAGAGCUUUGUAAUGUUUUGAACAACCAAUAAAAAAA
rnacentral:lncRNA from 1 species